rnacentral:rRNA from 1 species
UAACAGGAUUCCCCUAGUAACUGCGAGUGAAGCGGGAAAAGCUCAAAUUUAAAAUCUGGCGGCUUUGGUCGUCCGAGUUGUAUUCUAGAGAAGCGUUUUCCGCGUUGGACCGUGUACAAGUCUCUUGGAAUAGAGCGUCAUAGAGGGUGAGAAUCCCGUCUUUGACACGGACUACCAGUGCUUUGUGAUGCGCUCUCAAAGAGUCGAGUUGUUUGGGAAUGCAGCUCAAAAUGGGUGGUAAAUUCCAUCUAAAGCUAAAUAUUGGCGAGAGACCGAUAGCGAACAAGUACCGUGAGGGAAAGAUGAAAAGCACUUUGGAAAGAGAGUUAAACAGUACGUGAAAUUGCUGAAAGGGAAACGCUUGAAGUCAGUCGCGUUAGCUACAACUCAGCCAGGCUUGCUUGGUGCAUUUUGUAGUUGACGGGCCAGCAUCAGUUUUGACCGCAGGAAAAAGGCCAGGGAAAUGUGGCACCUUCGGGUGUGUUAUAGUCCUUGGUUGUAUACUGUGAUUGGGACUGAGGCUCUCAGCACGCUUUUGUUGUGCUUAGGAUGCUGGCGUAAUGGCUUUAAACGACCCGUCUUGAAACACGGACCAAGGAGUCUAACAAACCUGCGAGUGUUUGGGUGGUAAACCCGAGCGCGCAAUGAAAGUGAAAGUUGGGAUCCCUGUCGUGGGGAGCACCGACGCCCGGACCAGACCUUCUGUGACGGAUCUGCGGUAGAGCAUGUUUGUUGGGACCCGAAAGAUGGUGAACUAUGCCUGAAUAGGGUGAAGCCAGAGGAAACUCUGGUGGAGGCUCGUAGCGAUUCUGACGUGCAAAUCGAUCGUCAAAUUUGGG